rnacentral:rRNA from 1 species
UACGGGGGGGGGCAAGCGUUGUUCGGAAUUACUGGGCGUAAAGGGCUCGUAGGCGGCCAACUAAGUCAGACGUGAAAUCCCCAGGCUCAACCUGGGAAUUGCGUCUGAUACUGGAUGGCUUGAGUUUGGGAGAGGGAUGCGGAAUUCCAGGUGUAGCGGUGAAAUGCGUAGAUAUCUGGAGGAAUACCGGUGGCGAAGGCGGCAUCCUGGACCGACAUUGACGCUGAGGAGCGAAAGCUAGGGGAGCAAACGGG